rnacentral:rRNA from 1 species
GUCCACGCCGUAAACGAUGGGCACUAGGCGUCGGGGGGAGCGACCCUCCCGGUGCCGUCGCUAACGCAGUAAGUGCCCCGCCUGGGGAGUACGGCCGCAAGGCUGAAACUCAAAGGAAUUGACGGGGGCCCGCACAAGCGGUGGAGCAUGUGGUUUAAUUCGAAGCAACGCGAAGAACCUUACCUGGGCUUGACAUGCACGGGAAAGCCGGUGGAAACAUCGGCCCCUCUUCGGAGUCCGUGCACAGGUGCUGCAUGGCUGUCGU